rnacentral:rRNA from 1 species
UUGUAAUUUGGAGAAGGUGUUUCGGAAGAGAUGAUGGUCCAAGUCCCUUGGAACAGGGCGUCGCAGAGGGUGAGAAUCCCGUAUGUGACCAAUCAUCGACUCCAUGUGAAACCCUUUCGACGAGUCGAGUUGUUUGGGAAUGCAGCUCUAAAUGGGUGGUAAAUUUCAUCUAAAGCUAAAUACCUGCCAGAGACCGAUAGCGCACAAGUAGAGUGAUCGAAAGAUGAAAAGCACUUUGAAAAGAGAGUCAAACAGUACGUGAAAUUGUUGAAAGGGAAGCGCUUGCAAUCAGACUCGUUUGCAGAAGCUCAGCCUUCCUUCGGGAUGGUGUACUCUUCUGUCAACGGGCCAGCAUCAGUUUUGGCGGCUGGAUAAAGACUUUGGGAACGUAGCUCUCUUUGGAGAGUGUUAUAGCCCGAUGUGUAAUGCAGCAGCUUAGACUGAGGUCCGCGCNUUUGCUA